GGGGAUGUAGCUCAGUAGUAGAGCACUUGCCUGGCAUCUAUGAGGUUCUGGGUUUAAUAUCCAGCAUUGCAA
rnacentral:tRNA from 1 species